rnacentral:misc_RNA from 1 species
GUUCAAGUGGUUGAGUUUGUUAAGUUUCAUUCAGUUUGGUUGGGUACGAUAGAGGAGAAACAGAGCUUCUCCCCUACCACACUAGUCGCGCGAGUCUUAGCGAACUAAGACCACCACUAGUUCUGCGCUGCAGAGAGCACUAACUCCUCACAGAGUUAGCCACUCCAGCUCGAGCCUGAGCUCUCGCUUGUUGUCACUCGACUAACGUCGAUGUCAACAGGUAAUGAUCCUUCCGCAGGUUCACCUACGGAAA